CCACGCCCGCGGACAAUGAUUGGACGUGAGUCUGUUUUGGCUCCGCCUUCGCUCGCCGUCGAUCGGCUCUUCAGGCUGUCAUGUCACGACAAGGCACAAAAAGAAAUAGACCCCUCCUGUGCACAAAUGUGAUUAGUCAGAGUUCCCAAACAGGCUGUCCUACCUCUACGAUUCAUUGGUGUCGAGGUUUUUAUAAGGACGUCAAUCACCAGAAUUUCCUCGUGCAAGCUUGAAAACCUGCCCACGAUGGAAACUGAUUGGUCAAUUGAGUCAUAAGUCGACCUCCUGGUGGGUGGGAGGCUGCUGUUUGGGUUCGUUUAAUGUCAACCACCCGGGUCGAGCCUCAUUGUAAACACUGAGGGACUUUCAGCAUGGAUCAGUUGCAGCUUUUCUAUUUCUUAAAUGUAAUAAAUACUUUAAUGUUUUGAAAGUAUCUGUUCGGAUACACUGUACUUCAUUGUGUGACAUUGUUGAUAUAUUGACUCAGGACAUGCACAAAAUUGCCCCUAGAGGGAGCUACUGUCCUUUCAAUUAUAAUCUAAUGUAUUUCCAGUUUUAUCUGUGAGAGUAUAAAGUCCAACAGGGAAUGCAACAAAGGGAUAGACAGUCCAAAAUCACUUGGUUUAAUAAUUAGUUGCAGUAUACUUUCGCAAAACAACAGAAAACAGAAAAGGUGACCAUUGAUUACCAAUGAGCAAAUCAGGCCAUUUCAAAGAAUCAGCGAACCAACAUACACAUUUUAGAACAUGCAUUAUGGAAAUGUUACCGCCAGUACAGUUUAUUUAAUAAUUACAAUCAUUCUUUCUAUCUUCAUGUUUGCUUCUUCAGUACAGAAAGAACAUAAAAGUCAAACAGACAAUUUAUCUACCUAGAAGAGGCACAUAAGAGAUUUAUUUGGACCUUUAUAAACCACAAAAGUAUUUUAGAAUCAAUCCUUUGACAGAGGUAGUCAGGACAGUGAUCUGAGAACUGGAGUAUUGUGCUCAGCAUUUCUGUCGUAGUAAAAACUCUAGCACCAGUGCUCUGAAUGAGCAGUCUGACUGCUUUUUUUAAGGGUCCUGAAUGACACAGUCAAGACUGAUGUAUGGUCAUAAAUUCUUCAAUACCUACUGAUAGAUUUUAAUGAGAUAUUUUUUAAAACUGUUGAAUUCACAUUGAGAACUUACUUUAAAUCUUUUUCCUUUGGCAAAACAUGUGGCACACCUUUUCAUUUACUCAAUGUACUAGUUGAGCAAUUGCAUGGGACUAGUCAUUCCCUACAGCUACGUGGAUCUGAGUGUCGUGUCAUAAGGGAUGUUGGCUUUUAAUCAUUUCAGCAAGUGCUAGUAUGUAGAGAUCGAACAGAGGUCAGCAAACUGACUGUUUUCAUGGCAGACAUGAUAAAGCAGGAAAAGGAUAGGUGCAAUUAAUAACAUUAAUGAUGGCUGAGUCCUGAGUCCUGAAAACCAUGUCCUCUGGUGUGACACCAUAUCCUGAUUUUAAAUCAGGCAAUUCCACAGACAACUUUAUUCAGUUGAAGGACCCCAUUCAAGGUCACUACUGAAGCCCCCUGUGAAACCUAUGACAUGUGCACAUGAUGGUUUCAAAGAAAAGAAGGCUGAGGGGAGAGUGGAAACCUUCAAUAUCAACUUGCUGCCAAACAGGAAGUAGAAUGAACUGUGCAAAAAGUGGAAAAAACCCAAAAAGAGAAAAGACACUCAGUGCUACUCUAAACACGACCCCACAGUCUCCAAAAAACUUAGCGGAGGAGGCAGUGGCUGAAUUAACAAACUGAAAUUAAAUACAUACAUGAAUUAAGUCCAGACAGAUUUUUUGGUGUUCAAGACUUAAAAGUAUUUGCACCAACAAUGGUGCAAAUAUUGUUUGUAUCAAAAUUAAAUGUUCUUUCUUCUUUAACACAAAUUACAUGAUUAGGAAAGAUUUUGUGGCGUUUAUGUUCCAAAAAAUUUGCUCUGUCAAGGAGUCACAGUUCAUUUUGUUGAUGAAAAUUAUUUUUAUUUAUUUUUUUGUUUUGUUUUGUUAAAAAAAAAACAUGGUUGAUGUUGUUUGCAUCAAAAUUCAACUUUCUUUCUUCUUUAACAAAAUAAAAGUUGAAUAAAAAAGACUUGCAUGUAAUUCCUCUCACUUUCUCUUUAAUGCAAUAUCUACCAUUUCUGUCCUUCAAUGUGACACCAAAAAGAACCAAAACUUUGUUUUUAUCUCAAAAUAUCUUAAAAAAAACAAUUGAGUAUUGCAGUAGGAGAGAUAUAAUCAUCAGUCAUCUUACAUUGGUACAUAAUUUUCAACAGUUUUGAAAGGAUGACAACAAAGUUUGACUUGUGACUUGUAAUG